rnacentral:rRNA from 1 species
ACCGCAUACGUCCUACGGGAGAAAGGGGGCUCCGGCUCCCGCUAUUGGAUGAGCCUAUGUCGGAUUAGCUAGUUGGUGAAGGUAAUGGCUUACCAAGGCAACGAUCCGUAGCUGGUCUGAGAGGAUGAUCAGCCACAUCGGGACUGAGACACGGCCCGAACUCCUACGGGAGGCAGCAGUGGGGAAUAUUGGACAAUGGGGGCAACCCUGAUCCAGCCAUGCCGCGUGUGUGAAGAAGGCCCUCGGGUUGUAAAGCACUUUCAGCGAGGAAGAACGCCUAUCGGUUAAUACCCGGUAGGAAAGACAUCACUCGCAGAAGAAGCACCGGCUAACUCCGUGCCAGCAGCCGCGGUAAUACGGAGGGUGCAAGCGUUAAUCGGAAUUACUGGGCGUAAAGCGCGCGUAGGUGGCUUGAUAAGCCGGUUGUGAAAGCCCCGGGCUCAACCUGGGAACGGCAUCCGGAACUGUCAGGCUAGAGUGCAGGAGAGGAAGGUAGAAUUCCCGGUGUAGCGGUGAAAUGCGUAGAGAUCGGGAGGAAUACCAGUGGCGAAGGCGGCCUUCUGGACUGACACUGACACUGAGGUGCGAAAGCGUGGGUAGCAAACAGGAUUAGAUACCCUGGUAGUCCACGCCGUAAACGAUGUCGACCAGCCGUUGGGUGCCUAGAGCACUUUGUGGCGAAGUUAACGCGAUAAGUCGACCGCCUGGGGAGUACGGCCGCAAGGUUAAAACUCAAAUGAAUUGACGGGGGCCCGCACAAGCGGUGGAGCAUGUGGUUUAAUUCGAUGCAACGCGAAGAACCUUACCUACCCUUGACAUCUACAGAAGCCGGAAGAGAUUCUGGUGUGCCUUCGGGAACUGUAAGACAGGUGCUGCAUGGCUGUCGUCAGCUCGUGUUGUGAAAUGUUGGGUUAAGUCCCGUAACGAGCGCAACCCUUGUCCUUAUUUGCCAGCGAGUAAUGUCGGGAACUCUAAGGAGACUGCCGGUGACAAACCGGAGGAAGGUGGGGACGACGUCAAGUCAUCAUGGCCCUUACGGGUAGGGCUACACACGUGCUACAAUGGCCGGUACAAAGGGCUGCGAGCUCGCGAGAGUCAGCGAAUCCCUUAAAGCCGGUCUCAGUCCGGAUCGGAGUCUGCAACUCGACUCCGUGAAGUCGGAAUCGCUAGUAAUCGUGAAUCAGAAUGUCACGGUGAAUACGUUCCCGGGCCUUGCACACCCCCGCCCCCGGUC